rnacentral:rRNA from 1 species
AUUGAACGCUGGCGGCAUGCUUUACACAUGCAAGUCGAACGGUAACAGGUUAAGCUGACGAGUGGCGAACGGGUGAGUAAUGCAUCGGAACGUGCCCGGUCGUGGGGGAUAACGCAGCGAAAGCUGCGCUAAUACCGCUUACGAUCUGAGGAUGAAAGCGGGGGACCGUAAGGCCUCGCGCGAGCGGAGCGGCCGAUGUCAGAUUAGGUAGUUGGUGGGGUAAAGGCUCACCAAGCCAACGAUCUGUAGCUGGUCUGAGAGGACGACCAGCCACACUGGACUGAGACACGGCCCAGACUCCUACGGGAGGCAGCAGUGGGGAAUUUUGGACAAUGGGCGAAAGCCUGAUCCAGCAAUGCCGCGUGCAGGAAGAAGGCCUUCGGGUUGUAAACUGCUUUUGUACGGAGCGAAAAGGUCUCCUCUAAUACAGGGGGCUCAUGACGGUACCGUAAGAAUAAGCACCGGCUAACUACGUGCCAGCAGCCGCAGUAA